GAUGAACGCUGGCGGCGUGCCUAAUACAUGCAAGUCGAACGCACAGCCGAGAAUCUUUCUAUUCUUAUAUUGACUGCCGACGGGGGGGUAACACGUGGAUCACCUACCUAUAAGACUGGGGUAACUUCGUGAAACCGGAGCUAAUACCGGAUAAUAUCUUAAUCCCCAUUGUUCAUAAGUGAAAGACGGUCUUGCUGUCACUUAUAGAUGGAUCCGCGCUGCAUUAGCUAGUUGGUAAGGUAAAGGCUUACCAAGGCAACGAUGCAUAGCCGACCUGAGAGACUGAUCGGCCACACUGGGACUGAGACACGGUCCAGACUCCUACGGGAGGCAGCAGUAGGGAAUCUUCCGCAAUGGGCGAAAGCCUGACGGAGCAACGCCGCGUGAGUGAUGAAGGUCUUCGGAUCGUAAAACUCUGUUAUAAGGGAAGAACAGAUGUGUAAGGAAAUGAGCACAUCUUGACGGUACCAAAUCAGAAAGCCACGGCUAAAUACGUG
rnacentral:rRNA from 1 species